UAGUUCGUUAUGUUCAGCCAAUUUUGGUGUUACUUGUUACUUCUGUGACUAUAAAAGUAUUGGGAACAGUUUGGCGUACCGGACGAUGAAUUGGUUGGAAAUCCAAGUACAUCAACCCUAACAACAUGACUGAUGGCGUACCUUAUCUUGACUAAGUGAAAGAUGGAACUCCUACAUUUUAUAUCAGCCAUCGCCAAUGAUGUAUUGCUCAUACGGAUAAUGAUCUUUGAUGCAGAGAUCUUAAGACGCACUUGUGAACAGUAUUGAACUUUCAAGGCACUCACUUUAUGACGAAUUUUCAUUCGUUCUACGAGAACCAUCG